rnacentral:tRNA from 1 species
GAGACAUUAGUAAAUACUGAAAUUACAUCACUUUGUCAAGGUGAAAUUGCAGGUUAAACUCCUGCAUGUCUU